NAGAGCGCCUGCUUUGCACGCAGGAGGUCAGCGGUUCGAUCCCGCUAGGCUCCA
rnacentral:tRNA from 1 species